ACAUCAGUAGCCACGGUAAUACGAAGGGUGCAAGCGUUAAUCGGAAUUACUGGGCGUAAAGCGUGCGUAGGCGGUUUGUUAAGUCUGUUGUGAAAUCCCCGGGCUCAACCUGGGAAUGGCAAUGGAUACUGGCAAGCUAGAGUGUGUCAGAGGAUGGUGGAAUUCCCGGUGUAGCGGUGAAAUGCGUAGAGAUCGGGAGGAACAUCAGUGGCGAAGGCGGCCAUCUGGGACAACACUGACGCUGAGGCGCGAAAGCGUGGGGAGCAAACAGGAUUAGAUACCCGCGUAGUCCCUGUCUCUUAUAC
rnacentral:rRNA from 1 species